UGGUGGAGUGAUUUGUCUGGUUAAUUCCGAUAACGAACGAGACUCUAUCCUGCUAAAUAGUCGCCGCGUGCUUAACUGCGUGGUCUGACUUCUUAGAGGGAUUCGCUAGCUGUAAUGGCACGAAACUGAGCAAUAACA
rnacentral:rRNA from 1 species